UACCAGCACCCCGAGUGGUCGGGACGAUUAUUGGGCCUAAAGCAUCCGUAGCCGGUUCUGCAAGUCCCCCGUUAAAUCCAGCUGCUCAACAGAUGGGCCGCGGAGGAUACUACAGAGCUAGGAGGCAGGAGAGGCAAGCGGUACUCAGUGGGUAGGGGUAAAAAUCCGUUGAUCCAUUGAAGACCACCAGUGGCGAAGGCGGCUUGCCAGAAUGCGCUCGACGGUGAGGGA
rnacentral:rRNA from 1 species